rnacentral:rRNA from 1 species
GCAUUAAUAUCCGCUGGAAGUACGCCGCAAGGUGAAACUCAAAGAAUUGACGGGGGCCCGCACAAGCGGUGGAGCAUGUGGUUUAAUUCGACGCAACGCGAAGAACUUACCCAGGCUGGACAUGCAGGUAGUAGAAGGGUGAAAGCCUAACGAGGUAGCAAUACCAUCCUGCUCAGGUGCUGCAUGGCUGUCGUCAGCUCGUGCCGUGGGGUGUUGGGUUAAGUCCCGCAACGAGCGCAACCCCUGUCUUCAGUUACCAACGGGUCAUGCCGGGAACUCUGGAGAGACUGCCCAGGAGAACGGGGAGGAAGGUGGGGAUGACGUCAAGUCAGCAUGGCCUUUAUGCCUGGGGCUACACACGUGCUACAAUGGCCGGUACAAAGCGCUGCAAGCCCGUAAGGGGGAGCCAAUCGCAAAAAACCGGCCUCAGUUCAGAUUGAGGUCUGCAACUCGACCUCAUGAAGGCGGAAUCGCUAGUAAUCCCGGAUCAGCACGCCGGGGUGAAUACGUUCCCGGGCCUUGUACACACCGCCCGUCACACCACGAAAGUUUGUUGUACCUGAAGUCGUUGGCGCCAACCGCAAGGAGGCAGACGCCCACGGUAUGACCGAUGAUUGGGGUGAAGUCGUAACAAGGU